GGCCUUGUGGUUUAGAGGUAUAAUUCUCGCUUCGGGGAAUCAACUCCCCGGCUUCCUAUGGAGGUCAGAAAAUGUGAGAGGUCCCGGGUUCGAAUCCCGGCAAGGCCC